AAGUCGUAACAAGGUUUCCGUAGGUAGCAACCUGGCAGGAAGGAUUCAAUUAACCAAGUAAAGGGCCGGGUAGGAGGUGGGUCUUGAUCUGUAAGGUGGUAGAGCAGACAGUCCGGCUGCCUCCCGAAAUGUCUUACAUGCCCCCCACAGCCUGAAGGCCGAAUUACAACCCUUGAUUAUCUACACUUGUUGCUUUGGGGUGCUCAAGUGCCCCAGAGGACCCAAAUCUCUUGCAUUUAGUGACGUCUGAGUACUAUAUAAUAUUUAAAA
rnacentral:misc_RNA from 1 species